rnacentral:rRNA from 1 species
AUCUACGACCAUACUACACUGAACACACCCGAUCUCAUCUGAUCUCGGAAGCUAAACAGGGUCGGGCCUGGUUAGUACUUGGAUGGGAGACAUUCAGCAACCAAUUAUCAGUUA